AAAAUUCCAUUAUGAAUAGAUUUUAUGCUAUCAUAAUUGAGGAUUUUUGUGGUUAGCACCCGGUGGGGACAUCGGGUGCUUUU
rfam:Bacteroides pyogenes JCM 10003 DNA, contig:contig_3.